AAACAAAGUUGGUUUGGUCUCUCUAGCUUGAACGGUCCAAGAGAUAACAUUUGACCGGUUAAUUUACAUAAAUGAAAAAAGACAUUUGGGAUAGCCUAAACAUGUGAAACAAAGUUAGUUUGAUUUCUCUACCUGAAGUAAAUAAAGAUACAGAUAGCUAGAAAACCUAUCUACACAAUAAUACCAAAGUCAGUAUCAACAUGUGAAGUGGUUAUAUUGUUGUAAAAUCACAACCAACUGCUUCUACCUAAAGUCAGGUUGAAAAGGUCCAAGCGAUGCUGCAUGUCUGCUAGUAGUAAGACUCAGCAAGAGAUGCAACACCUGCUUUGUGUCAUGAUAGUUGGAAGAGUCAUCUGACAGUAAAAUGUGUUCUUUAAGGACCUUUUUGUGAUAUGUAUACAUAUUUAUUUGAUGAAGUAGAUGGAUGGAUGUGCUCUUGACAAUUAUGCUCACGCCAUUUACUGGCUGAUUUUGUUUUGAAUGUGGUUUGAAAUGUAAUAGUAUGUUGUCUCCAUCUACAUUGAUCAGGAUAUGCAGCUAUGACGGGUUAUUGCAUGUUCUCCUGAUUUAACAGAUGGACCACUUAGAAUUUUCAUGUAGUUAGUGUCUAAAAUAUGCCCAUUACCAGCCUUUUACAUAUCUAUUUAUAACCCAAUGACAUCCUGCAGGCGUGACACUUGACUUUCUCUAAGCUCUGUUGGAUUUCUGUAUUGGUGAUGCGUCUUUCAUUUGACAUCUUAGUCAUUUAGCAGACAGUCUUAUCCAGGGGGUCUAACUGAGCUUUCCGUGCCACUAACUACAGCGACCACAAAAUCAGGCCUAUGUCUGACCGGCCUCGUGCAGAUUGUUUACGCCCUUAGGUUGUAUGGUUCAAUUAGGUUUAAUGAAUCUCUGAUAAUCAUUAUCACAGAGAAUCUUCUCUCUGGGCUGCCAACAGGGAGGGGAAUGAGCGUGAUGUGAUCUGAUGAACAGAGAGGUGGCCUGGCCACUCACAACAUUCACAGGAGCUGUGUGGGAGACUACUACAGAUCUACUAGAGAUAUGUAGAAUAUGAAGAUGGAGGAAGGCUUAGGUUUACAGUGAAUGAGGCCCAAUGAGUAUGGAAAGCUGUAGGAAACAGUCUAAAACAGUAGGGCUUUAAGAGGAGCAGCAUGGAGCCCUUAAAUACCCUGUUCAUGUAGUUUAUUGCUGGGAGACGGACACAACAACCAGCUUCAUUGUCUCUCUUUCCCUCACUCUCCUAUUCUCUUUCUUAAUCUCUGUCUCUCUAUCUCGCUCUCUCAUACACACAUAUACACACAUAAACACAUAUAGCCUCUUAAACAUAUACUUUAUGUGAUUCACACUCACUUCCCUGUAACGUGGUAUUGUCUGUUGUUUUAUAUUGUCCAUCUAUGCUGUUUCCUAUCAUCCAUCUAUUCUGUUUUAUAUCAUCCAUCUAUGCUGUUUCAUAUCAUCCAUCUGUUCUGUUUCAUAUCAUCCAUCUUUUCUGUCUGUUCUGUUUUAUAUCAUCCAUCUGUUCUGUUUUAUAUCAUCCAUCUGUUCUGUUUUAUAUCAUCCAUCUGUUCUGUUUUAUAUCAUCCAUCUGUUCUGUUUUAUAUCAUCCAUCUGUUCUGUUUUAUAUCAUCCAUCUGUUCUGUUUUAUAUCAUCCAUCUGUUCUGUGUUAUAUCAUCCAUCUGUUCUGUGUUAUAUCAUCCAUCUGUUCUGUUUCAUAUCAUCCAUCUGUUCUGUUUCAUAUCAUCCAUCUGUUCUGUUUUAUAUCAUCCAUCUGUUCUGUUUCAUAUCCUCCCUCCAUUCUGUCUGUCCUGUUUCAUGUCAUUCAUCUCUUCUCUUAUGUUUCAUAUCAUCAGUCUGUUCUGUUUCAUAUCAUACAUCCAUUCUCUCCUGUUUCAUGUCAUCCAUCUGUUCUCUUAUUUCAUACCAUCAGUCUGUUCUGUUCCAUAUAAUCUGUCUUUUCUGUUUCAUAUAAUCUGUCUGUUCUGUUUCAUAUCAUCAGUCUGUUCUGUUUCAUAUCAUCAGUCUGUUCUGUUUCAUAUCAUCAGUCUGUUCUGUUGUUUCAUAUCAUCAGUCUGUUCUGUUGUUUCAUAUCAUCAGUCUGUUUUCUGUUGUUUCAUAUCAUCAGUCUGUUUUCUGUUGUUUCAUAUCAUCAGUCUGUUUUCUGUUGUUUCAUAUCAUCAGUCUGUUCUGUUUCAUAUCAUCAGUCUGUUCUGUUGUUUUAUAUCAUCAGUCUGUUCUGUUGUUUCAUAUCAUCAGUCUGUUUUCUGUUCUAGACCGGUCUCAGCAUCUGUUUUCUGUUAUUUCAUAUCAUCAGUCUGUUUUCUGUUCUAGACCAGUCUCAGCAUCUGUUUUCUGUUGUUUCAUAUCAUCAGUCUGUUUUCUGUUGUUUCAUAUCAUCAGUCUGUUCUGUUUCAUAUCAUCAGUCUGUUCUGUUGUUUCAUAUCAUCAGUCUGUUUUCUGUUCUAGACCAGUCUCAGCAUCUGUUUUCUGUUGUUUCAUAUCAUCAGUCUGUUUUCUGUUGUUUCAUAUCAUCAGUCUGUUCUGUUUCAUAUCAUCAGUCUGUUCUGUUGUUUCAUAUCAUCAGUCUGUUUUCUGUUCUAGACCAGUCUCAGCAUCUGUUUUCUGUUGUUUCAUAUCAUCAGUCUGUUUUCUGUUCUAGACCAGUCCCAGGAAGAGAGAUCCAACUCUGUUGCCGUGGCAGGAGCAGUGAUGGGGGCAGUCCUUGCCCUUUUCCUCAUAGCCGUCUUCACCAUCGUCAUCCUCACAGCACGGAAGACCUCUCCCCCAGCGUACACAGACAAAGUGGCCUCCUCAAUCCCACACCUUCCGUGUCUGCCUGCAUUUCCUCACCGUCCAUUCACAGAUUCAGGUUCUAACCCCCGGGACAAGCUGGCCAAUCGGCUACUUUGUACCAUGGCAGUGGGCGGUCCCUAACGGACCAUCAUUCCCAGAUGAUGUUCCCUGUGAGGGAGAUGGAGACACAGUGAGUUGGAUGUGUCUGAUGUCGAACCAGUCAGUCUGUGGGGCCUUUAUAAGCCUGCUAUAUUUAAUAGUGUUAAACAGUGUCCAUCGGGUUCCACAAAAGAUUACCACAGUGGGAGUACUGGAGGUGGAGGUUGUCGUUAAUCUGUCAUGGUAGCAGUUUAGACGAAGGGCCAGUAAAGUCGUUCAGCUAGUGGGAGCUGCGGUCGUUUGGAUGGAUCAGGAUUGAUCUACCUCCGACACACAAGCCCCCCCCUCCGUACAUAGAGAGACCCCCAGCCAUCCCUCUAGCUGUUCACGCACCACAGGUGGCCUCCCUGUCACAGGCUCGCAGGGCUGAGCGGCGCUUUGAGAUGGCCGAGAAAACCCCCGCCAGGCUCAUGCACCGGGAACCCCAAAGCCCCUCCCACCAGCCUCUGUCCUAUCAGGAGUGGGUCUGUCACCAAAAUGGGGCGGAUCGCGUCUACAUCAACCACCGGGAACACUAUGUUUAAAGGGGCAUAUUCUGAUCCUUGGACCUGUUAAUCAAUGACUUACACCACCCCAAACCAACCCCACAGAGGCUCAGGGUGGACAGCCUUUUCAGACACAGCUCAUGAUUUGACCAAGCCUUCCUAAAUGAGAGUCUACUCCACGUUUAAACUCCUUUGAGAGCAGCAGUUACCGCCUGCAAGAAGCAAGACUAAUGAGGCUGAAGCAUAAACUGCUAAGUGUCUCUGAGGAACAACCAACCCAGACACCUCCUCCACUCUCCUCCCCUGAACCACCACACACUUGUUCUGUUCCCAACCACAUCAAGGAACAGGAUAACAGCAGAGGAGGAGGAAGACACAUUGGGACAGUACCACACAAGAAGUUAAAACAGCACACUAAGCUCUUGUGUAGUGUACUGAAAUUGAAUAAUAUGAAAACACUGUGCUCUAUCAUGGAUAGAAGAGAUGUGUAUAACUAUGUCACAGUUGCUAUGGUGAUAUUAUAGUGAUGGCAUAAUCCUGUGUACUGUUAUGCUCUUUAAAUUAGAAUUAGAAAGAAAUUAUUUAAAUACCAGACAUAUCUCUGGCUCUGGUAAACAAGCAGUGUUACCACAGCAUUUACAGUGUAAUAUCAAGCAUUACAUUAAUUAUAGUAGAUAGUAACAUAUAAUGUAAUCCAGUCAUACUCUAUUGUGUCAUAUGUUCAGAUAAGAUGAAUGUAGGGUAGUUCAGGGGCUUUGAGAAGUCAACUGAAUCAUAGACAAGGGGAAUGAACCAUGUGGACUGUUCUUUUGUCUGUUGAGAAAAGCAUAUUUUUAUUAUUUCAUUGUGUAUAACACAUUUUCCAACUUUUUUGUGCCAUUUUAAUAUUUGAAAGGAGAUGCUCUCAACAGUAGAUAUGCUUUUUUAUUCUAAUUAUUCUGUUCAGUAGAUAAUAGAUGCAGUUUUAAAUAUUAAACUAGGUUUGUUACAAACGGGUCAGUGUUAUUUUUUUUUUUUUUUUUUUUACCAUAAUAUUUAUACAGUAGGGAUGGCUAUUGUGUUUGUAUGACAACAUCAUCAUAUAGUCAAAUAAAAUGGCAGUUGCAGCCCUACAGGCAUCUGUUAAGGUCCCGAGCCCCAUAUACUGUGUGUUAAUGAGCUACGCUUGUGUAGCUUUUCUCUCCUGGCCAGGCAGGCUAGGGACCAAGGCUCUAGCUGAGCUCUAAACCACAAAAAGGCCUUUGUUUGUUUCCCUGUCAUUGGUGAAUAAGC
ensembl:lncRNA